rnacentral:rRNA from 1 species
UACGGAGGGUGCGAGCGUUGUCCGGAAUCACUGGGCGUAAAGGGCGCGUAGGCGGCUUGCCACGCGUGUGGUGAAAGCCCGGGGCUCAACCCCGGGUCGGCCGUGCGGACUGGCGUGCUCGAGCACUGUAGGGGCGGGUGGAAUUCCGGGUGUAGCGGUGGAAUGCGUAGAGAUCCGGAAGAGCACCGGUGGCGAAGGCGGCCCGCUGGGCAGGAAGGCUCGCAAGAGCCGGCUGACGCUGAGGCGCGACAGCGUGGGGAGCAAACAGG